rnacentral:rRNA from 1 species
UACGGAGGGUGCAAGCGUUAUCCGGAUUCACUGGGUUUAAAGGGUGCGUAGGUGGGCAGGUAAGUCAGUGGUGAAAUCUCCGGGCUUAACUCGGAAACUGCCAUUGAUACUAUCUGUCUUGAAUACCGUGGAGGUCAGCGGAAUAUGUCAUGUAGCGGUGAAAUGCUUAGAUAUGACAUAGAACACCAAUUGCGAAGGCAGCUGGCUACACGAAUAUUGACACUGAUGCACGAAAAGCGUGGGGGAUCAAACAGG